rnacentral:tRNA from 1 species
AGGAUAAUAGUUAAAUUAACAUUUAAUUUGCACUUAAAAAAUAUUGAAUAUUCAAUUUAUCUUAAU